CUGAGCUCCUAUUACGGGAUUAAAUCAGAAGAGCCCCAUUAUUUCUUAUAUUAUCCUAUAGCGUUAGUUACUCUGCCUGCCUGCUGAGUUGCCAUUGUAAACAUUUCCCCUAGAAUGCCAGUACAGAGGCAAUGAACAGCCCUUUGGGACACACAAACGAAGGCUGGAGUUCUUGAGGAAUAGAUGUGCACAGUUAUAACGCAGGAUGCCUACUUCAGGAGUGGCUGGUCUAUAUGGACAAAGAGUGGAGCCACAAGUAGCAAAGGAAGAGUGGAUAACAACUGAAAGCCACACUUCCNCCCAACUUAGUGCUCAACUGACCAGGUUCUGGUUCAAAUGCAUGGAAGUGAGACUUUGAAUGGUAUAUCACAGAUACAUGUUCACUCACUUGGCCGCUUACUUGCCCCUACUGCCUGUUCAUCCAUCACAUUUUGAGUUAUUCCUCUUAAAAUCAGGAGGUCUAUUAUAGAUAGCAUCCGCAUAUACAGUCAUCCUGUACAUCCUGAAUGUCCUCCGUGUUUCUGAAACAUCAAACUUCAAAAGAAGUAGGGU
rnacentral:lncRNA from 1 species